rnacentral:rRNA from 1 species
CCUACGGGUGGCAGUAGUGGGGGAUAUUGCACAAUGGGGGGAACCCUGAUGCAGCGACGCCGCGUGGGUGAAGGAGCGUUUCGGCGCGUAAAGCCCUAUCGGCAGGGAAGAAGAUGACGGUACCUGACCAAGAAGCCCCGGCUAACUACGUGCCAGCAGCCGCGGUAAUACGUAGGGGGCAAGCGUUAUCCGGAUUUACUGGGUGUAAAGGGGGCGCAGACGGCAAUGCAAGCCAGGAGUGAAAGCCCGGGGCCCAACCCCGGGACUGCUUUGGAAACUGCCUGACUGGAGUGCUGGAGAGGCAAGCGGAAUUCCUAGUGUAGCGGUGAAAUGCGUAGAUAUUAGGAAGAACACCAGUGGUGAAGGCGGCUUGCUGGACAGUAACUGACGUUGAGGCUCGAAAGCGUGGGGAGCAAACAGGAUUAGAUACCCUUGUAGUC